rnacentral:antisense_RNA from 1 species
AUUUUUUGUCAUACAUGUCACACUUUGACUGUAGCAGUGACUGCCUCACACAGCUCCAUAUCAAAAAUACAGCAAAAGUACUCUCCAACACCAUGAAUACAAAACUUUGUAACUUCCUGGCAAAGCAAUCCUCCUCCUAUUGAAGCAAUUGGAGAUAUUGUCUUUCCCCAUGUUUCGUUGAAUAUUUUUUCAAGUUCGAGAGCCUUCUCAAUAUCAAUACUGGGAGUAGUUUUUAUUUCCUUUAAUAUUUCAUCAAUUUCAGAACUUUGAGACUCAUUCUUCACUGCUUUUUGAUACCUUUCUCUAAGCAUACAAAUAAUAAUUAGUAUAUAUGGGUG